rnacentral:rRNA from 1 species
GCGGUAUAAAAUGAGCUUGCGUCCUAUUAGCUAGUUGGUGAGGUAAUGGCUCACCAAGGCUACGAUGGGUAGGGGUUCUUAGUGGAAGGUCCCCCACACUGGCACUGAGAUACGGGCCAGACUCCUACGGGAGGCAGCAGUAGGGAAUAUUGGUCAAUGGGCGCAAGCCUGAACCAGCCAUGCCGCGUGCAGGAUGAAGGCUCUCUGAGUUGUAAACUGCUUUUGUACAGGAGCAAAAAAAUCCCUGCGGGGGUUCUUGAGAGUACUGUAAGAAUAAGCACCGGCUAAUUCCGUGCCAGCAGCCGCGGUAAUACGGGAGGUGCAAGCGUUAUCCGGUUUUAUUGGGUUUAAAGGGUGCGUAGGCGGCUUAUUAAGUCAGUUGUGAAAUCCUAGUGCUUAACGCUAGAACUGCGAUUGAUACUAUUAGGCUUGAGUUAAAGAAGAGGU